rnacentral:rRNA from 1 species
GGUACAAUCCGCGUGAGGGAACCAAGGCUUUUGGGUUGUAAACCUCUUUUCUCAAGGAAGAAGCACUGACGGUACUUGAGGAAUCAGCAUCGGCUAACUCCGUGCCAGCAGCCGCGGUAAUACGGAGGAUGCAAGCGUUAUCCGGAAUUAUUGGGCGUAAAGCGUCCGCAGGUGGUACAUCAAGUCUGCUGUCAAAGACUAGGGCUUAACCCUGGAGCGGCAGUGGAAACUGAUGAACUAGAGUACGGUAGGGGUAGAGGGAAUUCCCAGUGUAGCGGUGAAAUGCGUAGAGAUUGGGAAGAACACCAGUGGCGAAGGCGCUCUACUGGACCUGUACUGACACUCAGGGACGAAAGCUAGGGGAGCGAAAGGGAUUAGAUA